rnacentral:tRNA from 1 species
GACUUUGAAGUAUUAUUAUACGUUGAAUUGCAAAUUCAAAGAAGUAGUGAAAUUAUGCUGCUAAAGUCU